rnacentral:rRNA from 1 species
UACAGAGGGUGCAAGCGUUGUUCGGAAUUAUUGGGCGUAAAGAGCUUGUAGGCGGUUUGUCGCGUCUGCCGUGAAAAUCCGGGGCUCAACCCCGGACUUGCGGUGGGUACGGGCAGACUAGAGUGUGGUAGGGGAGACUGGAAUUCCUGGUGUAGCGGUGAAAUGCGCAGAUAUCAGGAGGAACACCGAUGGCGAAGGCAGGUCUCUGGGCCACUACUGACGCUGAGAAGCGAAAGCAUGGGGAGCGAACAGG